GAUGAACGCUGGCGGCGUGCCUAAUACAUGCAAGUCGAGCGAACAGACGAGGAGCUUGCUCCUCUGACGUUAGCGGCGGACGGGUGAGGAACACGUGGAUAACCUACCUAUAAGACUGGGAUAACUUCGGGAAACCGGAGCUAAUACCGGAUAAUAUAUUGAACCGCAUGGUUCAAUAGUGAAAUACGGUUUUUCUGUCACUUAUAGAUGGAUCCGCGCCGCAUUAGCUAGUUGGUAAGGUAACGGCUUACCAAGGCGACGAUGCGUAGCCGACCUGAGAGGGUGAUCGGCCACACUGGAACUGAGACACGGUCCAGACUCCUACGGGAGGCAGCAGUAGGGAAUCUUCCGCAAUGGGCGAAAGCCUGACGGAGCAACGCCGCGUGAGUGAUGAAGGUCUUCGGAUCGUAAAACUCUGUUAUUAGGGAAGAACAAAUGUGUAAGUAACUAUGCACGUCUUGACGGUACCUAAUCAGAAAGCCACGGCUAACUACGUG
rnacentral:rRNA from 1 species